UGAAUAUAUUUCUCAUAUUCUCAAAGGUCUC
rnacentral:piRNA from 1 species